rnacentral:rRNA from 1 species
CCCUUAGAUGUUCUGGGCCGCACGCGCGCUACACUGAUGCAUUCAACGAGUCUAAAACCUGCUCUGAUAGGGGUGGGUAAUCUUUUGAAUGUGCAUCGUGAUUGGGAUAGAUGAUUGAAAUUUUUCAUCUUCAACGAGGAAUGCCUAGUAAACGCAAGUCAUCAGCUUGCAUUGAUUACGUCCCUGCCCUUUGUACACACCGCCCGUCGCUCCUACCGAUUGAAUGAUCCGAUGAAUAUCAUGGAUUGAGGAUGUAAGCAGGUUCGCCUGUCUUCAUCUUCGAGAAGUGAAGUAAAUCUUAUCAUUUAGAGGAAGGAGAAGUCGUAACA